rnacentral:rRNA from 1 species
UCAGCCGCCGCGGUAAUACAGAGGGUGCAAGCGUUGUUCGGAAUUACUGGGCGUAAAGCGCGUGUAGGCGGUUUGCUAAGUCUUGUGUGAAAGCCCUGGGCUCAACCCAGGAAGUGCGCAAGAUACUGGUGAACUGGAGUAACGGAGAGGAUGGCGGAAUACCCGGUGUAGAGGUGAAAUUCGUAGAUAUCGGGUGGAACACCUGUGGCGAAGGCGGCCAUCUGGACGUUCACUGACGCUGAGACGCGAAAGCAUGGGGAGCAAACAGGAUUAGAUACCCUGGUAGUCCAUGCUGUAAACGAUGGAUGCUAGAUGUCGCGGGUAUUGACCCCUGCGGUGUCGACGCUAACGCAUUAAGCAUCCCGCCUGGGGAGUACGGUCGCAAGAUUAAAACUUAAAGGAAUUGGCGGGGGAC